rnacentral:lncRNA from 1 species
CCCACUCAGAGGUCCCAUUGAGGGAGCGUGGUGGCCCGUUAGGAACAUUUCAGUCAUGCAGAAUCAUCACCAGCCAGCAGCUCUGUCACUGGACCGGGGGUGUGAAUACCAGCGUACACCACUGUGACAAUGGCAGCUGCGUGCGUGUCAUCCUCACCGUGAACUGGAGUGACUGUGGGCUGCCGCCUGGCUCCAGGCCCGGGCUCCUCGCUCCCCUCCAUACUCAGGCCUGCACACUCCUGGAGCUUUCUCUCAGUCUGGGAGGCCACUUCUCUGACCCUAAUUCCCAUCUUCACACAAGAAGUUCCAGGCCAUAAGAAAUAAGCUGAAGUCUGAGCUCCUCUGCAACCUCAUCCACAAUACCUCAAUGUAUACUGCCCACAGAUAAGCAAUCCAGCUCUGAGACAUUUUUAAAGGGGCCGAGAUGCCUUCGCUAAAGUGGUCCAGGAAGAUGAACACAGAAAGCCAUCUUCUGCGUUAUUUGAGGAUUCAAUGGGAACAAGGAGGACCUUCCCCGCAGUCCUGAGAAGAGAUUCCACAUUCCCGAGCGCCUGCCUCCAGACUCUGAGCUCAGAGAUGAAAGUGGACAACAUUCACUCAGCAAAGACGUCCUGGGCGCCUCCUACGUGCCAGACACUGUUCUAAGAGGAUGGGGUGUGACCAAAGAGCCCUGCCCUGGACACGCUGACAGUGAGAGGGUGCUGGUCUGUCUUGAUGUGACGAGUAUGCGCCUGCCUUUGGCAAGCUGGCUCAUCUGCUGGCUGUCAAGACUUUACCUUUUCACAGAGCCAAAGCCAGCCUGGAGAGGCUUUCCCUCCAACUACCUUGGUAGGGAGAGUGAACCGUGGCCUGCCAGCCGGCCUCCAGAACCACAGCCAUCAGCACCACCACACCUCAGGUCCUGAAGUCACCUGUCUAGAAAAAACAAACACAUCUCAGGUGUCAGAGAAGCACUGCUUUCCUCUUUUCCGAAGCCACUGGGGGAUGGCGGGGAAGGGGUAGGACUGGCCUGCGGCUUUCCUUUCCUGAGGGAAAGGUUUGGAGGCUCUGCACUGCUACUACAAGGCCUCUGAGGUUUGGCUUCCUCCCCAGCAAGCUCCCAGCAAGGU